rnacentral:rRNA from 1 species
AACGAACGCUGGCGGCAGGCCUAACACAUGCAAGUCGAGCGAGGACUUCGGUUCUAGCGGCGGACGGGUGAGUAACGCGUGGGAAUGUGCCCUUCUCUACGGAAUAGCCCUGGGAAACUGGGAGUAAUACCGUAUACGCCCUAUUGGGGAAAGAUUUAUCGGAGAAGGAUCAGCCCGCGUUGGAUUAGGUAGUUGGUGGGGUAAUGGCCUACCAAGCCGACGAUCCAUAGCUGGUUUGAGAGGAUGAUCAGCCACACUGGGACUGAGACACGGCCCAGACUCCUACGGGAGGCAGCAGUGGGGAAUCUUAGACAAUGUGGGCAACCCUGAUCGAGCCAUGCCGCGUGAGUGAUGAAGGCCUUAGGGUUGUAAAGCUCUUUCAGCUGGGAAGAUAAUGACGGUACCAGCAGAAGAAGCCCCGGCUAACUCCGUG